rnacentral:rRNA from 1 species
AGAACGAACGCUGGCGGCAUGCCUAAUACAUGCAAGUCGAACGAACACUUCGGUGUUAGUGGCGCACGGGUGCGUAACGCGUGGGAAUCUGCCCUUGGGUUCGGAAUAACAGUUGGAAACGACUGCUAAUACCGGAUGAUAUCGAAAGAUCAAAGUAUUUAUCCGCCCGAGGAUGACGCCCGCGGUAGGUAUUAGCUUAGGUUGGUGAAGGUAAGGCUCACCGAAGGCGACGAUCCUUAGCUGGUCUGAGAGGAUGAUCACGCCACACGUGGGACUGAGACGACCGGCCCAGACCUCCGUACGGGAGCAGCGAGGUAGGGAAUUAGUAGGAAC